rnacentral:misc_RNA from 1 species
GUUGAAAUAAAAUAAUUGAAAGAAUUAUUUUUUAAAAAAAGAAUCUUUUGAAAAUGUCAAAUAAGAUUAGUAGUUCAAGCUACAAAGUGAAAUCUCCAAUGGCAAUCACAAUAUUUGGACACUUGUUGUUUAUAGCUAUAACAAUACUUGUAUUAGUUUGGCUUUUGCACUUUAGAGAAGGCCUUGCUUUCACUUCAUCCAACAAGGCCAAGAUUUUCAAUAUUCAU